UAGUCCACGCCGUAAACGAUGUCUACUUGGAGGUUGGAGUCUUGAAUUCUGGCUUUCGGAGCUAACGCGUUAAGUAGACCGCCUGGGGAGUACGGUCGCAAGAUUAAAACUCAAAUGAAUUGACGGGGGCCCGCACAAGCGGUGGAGCAUGUGGUUUAAUUCGAUUGCAACGCGAAGAACCUUACCUACUCUUGACAUCUACAGAAGCCAGCGGGGACGCAGGUGUGCCUUGGGAACUGUAAGACAGGUGCUGCAUGGCUGUCGUCAGCUCGUGUUGUGAAAUGUUGGGUUAAGUCCCGCAACGAGCGCAACCCUUAUCCUUCGUUUGCCAGCACGUAAUGGUGGGAACUCCAGGGAGACUGCCGGUGAUAAACCGGAGGAAGGUGGGGACGACGUCAAGUCAUCAUGGCCUUACGAGUAGGGCUACACAACGUGCUACAAUGGCGCAUACAGAGGGCUGCAAGCUAGCGAUAGUGAGCGAAAUCCCAAAAAAGUGACGUCGUAGUCCGG
rnacentral:rRNA from 1 species